rnacentral:rRNA from 1 species
AGUGAACGCUGGCGGUAGGCCUAACACAUGCAAGUCGAACGGCAGCACAGUAAGAGCUUGCUCUUACGGGUGGCGAGUGGCGGACGGGUGAGGAAUACAUCGGAAUCUACUUUUUCGUGGGGGAUAACGUAGGGAAACUUACGCUAAUACCGCAUACGACCUACGGGUGAAAGCAGGGGAUCUUCGGACCUUGCGCGAUUGAAUGAGCCGAUGUCGGAUUAGCUAGUUGGCGGGGUAAAGGCCCACCAAGGCGACGAUCCGUAGCUGGUCUGAGAGGAUGAUCAGCCACACUGGAACUGAGACACGGUCCAGACUCCUACGGGAGGCAGCAGUGGGGAAUAUUGGAAAAUGGGCGGAAGCCUGAUCCAGCCAUACCGCGUGGGUGAAGAAGGCCUUCGGGUUGUAAAGCCCUUUUGUUGGGAAAGAAAAGCAGCAGGUUAAAACCCCGCUGUUCUGACGGUACCCAAAGAAUAAGCACCGGCUAACUUCGUG